rnacentral:lncRNA from 10 species
GGAGCGGGAGCGUGGAGUUAUCACGGCCGCCUCUGCCCGGAGCCCGCCCCUGCCCCGCGGCUGUGCCCCUUCACCCGCACGCCGACUGUUCCAAAGUCCACGUCCAGCCUGCAGCCGGGUUUUCUAUGGUGCCUGAGCUAAGAAUGCUUUUCUCGUUUUUAAGAGGUUGGGGGAGAAUUAAAACAGUAUUUUAGCAUAUAUGAAAAGUAUAUGACAUUCAAAUAUCGGCCGGGCACGGUGGCUCACGCCUGUAAUCCCUGCACUUUGGGAGGCCGAGGCGGGUGGAUCACCUGAGAUCAGGAGUUCGAGACCAGCCUGGCCAACAUGGAGAAACCCCGUCUCUACUGAAAAAAAAUAAAAAAUUAGCCAGACGUGGUGGUGGGCUCCUGUAAUCCCAGAUACUCGGGAGACUGAGGCAGAAGAAUCGCUUGAACCCGGGAGGCAGAGGUUGCAGUGAGCCGAGAUCGCGCCACUGCACUCCAGUCUGGGUGACAGAGCAAGACUCCGUCUCCAAAAAAAAAUUAAAUUAAAAUGUCGGUUUCCUAAGGAGUUCAACUGGAACACCACCAUGCUUGUUCAUGUAGUUAAAAGUCUGCAAGUGCUUGGUACAUACACAGAUGGUAUUUAUUUGCUGUUUGUCUUAAAUUGCAUUCUUAUGCAUCAUAGAGACUGCGAUAAGGAGAAGAAAAAAUAUUUUCUACAGGACCAUCCAAACAUGACAAGAGCAAAAAUCACCCCCUGCAGAACCUAGGAGCUACGUGCAGAACUUUACAGAGUUGAGGCAGCGCCGUAGCUGAGGCCUGACUGCUAACCAGGGAGUGGAGCUCUGAGUGCACUCAAGGAACGCAAGGAAGCCAGGCAGGGAGGAAGGGGCCGGCGGAGUCUAACUUCAGCUGCCAUCUUUUUUGGUGGCACAUCUCGUGGUCACAGGUUGUAGGCUGUGUUUCUGGAAGGUUCAGGUACAGCGCAAGAUUCCACUUGUCUACUUGGCUAUCUCUGUGCCUGAGGUGCCAUGAGGCCAACGGACGUCACUCAAAUUCAUGUCCAGCCAAACUCCCACAGCAAAGAAUCCCGAACCGAGGAUGAAGUUCCUCUAGAAAGCAUUCCUAUCUGUGGCAAAGCUGCAGACACCCCGAAACCCAUCUCCCACCUCGUCUGGAAUUUCAGGAGCUUCGUUUGCUGAGCCAGUGCACUCAUGGCAACCCUGCAGGAAGCCAUGUGGCACCUCUGGGCUUUGCACCGUGUGUGUUCUCUUCUCUAAACUGCUGUUUUUGCUUAGCAAAGAGCCUCGCCUGCCACUGAUGAUGGCAGUGUGGGGUCAUUUUGAAUGGCUGCCUGACACUGCAUGGCACAUUCACGUACACAGUCCUGUGGGAUCGUGACAUAAUAAGAAAUAGAUAUUUCAUCUCUGCCCCUGGUUCCUGACACAGAGCUCCUAAAACCAUUGAAAUUUCCUGGAUAAUAGGAGCUUCUUCUGUUCCAAUGGGGUGACUCUUGGUGGGCUCCUGGAUGGGGGCUGGUCACUAGCGAGACCACACCAUGAUGAGAAACCUGGAGCUUCAGCCCUACCCCCACCUCUGAGCAGGGGAGACGGGCUAGCUAGAGGCGCGGUUCCUAAUGCGCCAUAUGCCUACAUGAAGACGUCUCCGUAAAAGUCCCUCAGCAGUGGGGGUUUGGAGAGCUCCCAGCUAUUAUGAGAAAUACCACUGCGAUGAGUCUUCACAUACAAGUGU